AGUAAGAUAAGCUAAAAUAAGCUAGUGGGUUCAUACCCCAAAUAUGAGUAAAUCUCUCUUACUA
rnacentral:tRNA from 1 species